AACGAACGCUGGCGGCAUGCCUAACACAUGCAAGUCGAACGAGACCUUCGGGUCUAGUGGCGCACGGGUGCGUAACGCGUGGGAACCUGCCCUUAGGUUCGGAAUAACUCCCCGAAAGGGGUGCUAAUACCGGAUAAUGUCUUCGGACCAAAGAUUUAUCGCCUUUGGAUGGGCCCGCGUUGGAUUAGCUAGUUGGUAGGGUAAAAGCCUACCAAGGCGACGAUCCAUAGCUCGUCUGAGAGGAUGAUCAGCCACACUGGGACUGAGACACGGCCCAGACUCCUACGGGAAGCAGCAGUGGGGAAUAUUGGACAAUGGGCGAAAGCCUGAUCCAGCAAUGCCGCGUGAGUGAUGAAGGCCUUAGGGUUGUAAAGCUCUUUUACCCGGGAUGAUAAUAACAGUACCGGGAGAAUAAGCUCCGGCUAACUCCGUG
rnacentral:rRNA from 1 species